CCUACGGGAGGCAGCAGUGGGGAAUAUUGCACAAUGGGCGCAAGCCUGAUGCAGCCAUGCCGCGUGUGUGAAGAAGGCCUUCGGGUUGUAAAGCACUUUCAGUCAGGAGGAAAGGUUAACGGUUAAUACCCGUUAGCUGUGACGUUACUGACAGAAGAAGCACCGGCUAACUCCGUGCCAGCAGCCGCGGUAAUACGGAGGGUGCGAGCGUUAAUCGGAAUUACUGGGCGUAAAGCGUACGCAGGCGGUUUGUUAAGCGAGAUGUGAAAGCCCCGGGCUCAACCUGGGAACUGCAUUUCGAACUGGCAAACUAGAGUGUGAUAGAGGGUGGUAGAAUUUCAGGUGUAGCGGUGAAAUGCGUAGAGAUCUGAAGGAAUACCGAUGGCGAAGGCAGCCACCUGGGUCAACACUGACGCUCAUGUACGAAAGCGUGGGGAGCAAACGGGAUUAGAUACCCCGGUAGUCCACGCCGUAAACGAUGUCUACUAGAAGCUCGGAGCCUCGGUUCUGUUUUUCAAAGCUAACGCAUUAAGUAGACCGCCUGGGGAGUACGGCCGCAAGGUUAAAACUCAAGGAAUUGACGG
rnacentral:rRNA from 1 species